rnacentral:lncRNA from 1 species
AAGCAUUCUCGUGUUGUAAAGGGGAAACUAAGGCUUUGAGAGGAGUGUGGCUUGCACAGUGUCACGUAGCUAGUGGCAGCACUGCCAGAAUUCAAACCCAAAAGUCUCUGGCUCCAAAGUCUGUGCUUGUAAAGCGAUACUAUUUUGUCUACCUCAUGGCUUUCAGGAUGGGAAAGAAAGCAAUAGGGUUUUAAAAUAUGUUCUCUCCCCUUCUUUUUUUUAAGGGUAUUUAUUACUAAAAGUGUUUUAAAACUGGACCACUGAGUAAAGUCACUCCAUCUCCUACUGUUCCUAGCACAGUGCUUGAUAAAUAUUUGCUGGCUCAUUCAGCUGCAGCUGCAGAGACCUACCUGUGUUUGCUGUGGCGACUGUCCGGGCCAAAGCUCAGGCAGCUGGAAGUAUCAGUGAAGCCAGAAGAUUCUAGCUGUUCAGGGUCUGUGAGGAGGAGUCAAGGUCUGGGGUUUGUGUCCUCUGGCAUAGCAAUGGCACUGCAAUGGGGGAGCCUGUUGCUGGGCUGGGCCAUCUCGCCACUGUCACCUGCCUGUUGAGGGGUGACGGUGGUUGUUGAGAGGCUGGAUCAGACCCCAGAGGUGACAUGGAUGUGGCAUAUUUGUUGGACUUACACAGCCUUGCAUUUUAUUUUCAUCUCUGUUCCUUCCUCCCAUGAGAUCUUGGGUGGUGUUUAUCAACCCUGAGUAAUCGUUUCUUUGUCUGCAAGAUGGAAUAAAAAGGCCUACCUCAUUGGGCUCGUGUGGGUGAGGAGAACUGAAGAGUCUGAGAGCGCGGCACGAGCCAGAGGCUACGGAAAACACUGCCCUCCUACACUCCACCUUGGAGAGACCCAGAAAAGAACAAGCUUCAUUUGUAAAAAAGGAAAACAACUCAGGCAAUGGGGGUGGCUUAAAGGCACUCUACAGUGUGCAGAUGCCUUCCACUUCUUCCAUCUGCCCUGUCUCUCCAAGAACCCCUAUGGCCCCGGUCUCAGAACAGAGCUGAGUGCAGAAAUGAAAAUCUAUGGCUCUGUGUUCCAAAACGAUGAAGAAUUUCAAGAUGGUGGCAGUGGUAAAAUCUUUCUCCAGGAAAAAUCUGUCCUUGGCCCAAUGUGUAAACACUUGCUGAGUAUUGUGAAACCAGCAACUUGUUCACAAUUCUUCUGAAUUUCUUGGGAAAUUUGAAGUGGAGUACCUGUACCAACAUGAAAUGACACGAAUUUAAGUGACGCUCAACAACGAAAAGCAAAAAGAACCAAAGAGGAAGCAACUGAAACAACAUCUGGAUGUAUUUAAAAAUAUACAAUGCCUCCAAAAUCAGGUGUCAUUAAUGAAAAUUCUGAAGAAAUGCCACCGGACAUAGCCAACGCACCUACGCUGUUGUUAUUCAUUUCCUGCUUUUCACAGAAAACAAUUUUGUUGCAUGGAAGAUCGUGAACUUCAAAGGGCAGAGGGGAAACUGUCCCUUGGCCUCUACCCCUCCAAGGCCCCACUUUUUUGUCAACACUCCUUGGACGCAGCAGAAGUAUGAACAUAAUAUGGUCCUGAAUGAGGCUGAGUCUUUGGGCGCAGAAGACCCGGGUUAAUAAAAAUAGGAAGGUAAGAAAAGAAAAGAAAAAUCAAGACACAUCAUAGGACUAAAUUCCUAUUAUUUAUCCACUCAGGAUUGACCACCCCUUUGGGCCAGAUAGUUGUACCCCCAUGUACCAGGUGGGCACAUGAAGACACAAGAAGUGCUGUGAUGGUUCAUUUUGCACGUCACCUUGCGUGGAGUAUGCCAACUCAUUGUUUGGUCAAACACUAGUCUGGACAUGGUGGUAAAGGUAUUUUUUAGAUGAGAUUAACACUUAAAUCAGUAAAGCAGGUUACCCACCAUACUACGGGUGGGCCCUGUCCAAUCAGUUGAAGGCAUUAAGAACAAAGAUUGAGGUUUCCUAAAGAAGAUGGAAUUCUCCUUGAGACUACAACAUAGAAACCCUAUCUGAGUUUCCAGCCUGUUGCCCUGUGGAAUUCAAACUCAGGACUCCGGUCUAUGACAUUAACCCUCACUUAACUUUUCAGCCUGCCAGCCUGCCCUAUGGAUUUCGGACUUGCCAGCCACACAAUUCCUUAAAAUAAAUCUCUCCGUCUCUGUCUGUUUCUCUCUGUCUAUAUACACACCUGCAUGCAUAUAUACAUAUAUAUAUGUAUGCAUCUAUAUAUUUAUAUCUAAUCUCGUAUUGCUUAUUGGUUCUGUUUCUCUGUAGAACUCUGCCUAAUACAGCUGAAGAUGUAUUCUCUUUAGAAAGCUUGCAAUUACUGGGGAACAAUCAGUACAGAAGUCGACAAUUACAGAAAGGGGACUAGGGUAAUAUGGUGGCCAAUGUCCUUGUGAGUAGUGGUGACAGAGGGCAACAAGUUAGAGACUGCCAAGGGAAAGUCAAGAGCAAGGGAAACAGAGAUGAAGUAGGUUCAGCCAGGCCCCACCACCUACCCAGACUAAACCUGGAGAGUCUCUUUUCCCUUUAGUCUUUUAAAAAUAUUUUAUUUCUGUACUUCAAUGGAUGCAAGCCCCUAAGUCCUGAAGGAUCUGUUGUUUGUUGUGUUACUCCAAGCAAGUAUUAGCCUAGAAGGGACCUCACCUCCCAACAAUGAAAUGCAACUCUUACAUUUUAUAGAUUGGGAAACCAAGUCUCUGAGAGCUUUCUAUUAAAGUGACAAAGGUACUGGAUCAUGGUAAGCAGGAAUAUGUACCCAAAGGAGUAAUAGCAGCUGUUCAUAUGCAUUUUAUUCUAAUGCGCCUUCCUGUGAUCAUGUUAAAUGAAUUCCUGGGUUUUUACCAAACUUGACUCUUUUGAGAAAGAACCAAAGGAGCUAAACCAAACAACUCUUGGGGAUGGAUCUGCAAAUGUUACUCCUGAGCUAUGGGGGCUCCAGGUCCACCUCACAUUGCCCCCUGCAGUCACCCUCAUCCAGCCCUAGCCCCCAGGCAGAUUGUCCCUGCAGACUGGCAAAGUCAUUUCCAGGUGUGGUCUCAGAGAACCUCUCUCUGGAAUGGUAGAAGGGUUUGUAGCCAUAAGAGCUGAUAUCAAGGGGGCUUCUAGAAAUCUAGAAAAUUUAAUUCCCCAGAAUGUGCCUGAGAGUUAGUUUCUCCUCUAGAGUCCUUUUCUUAGGAAGCACCGGAGUCCAUGCUUGCUCUUAUAUUUUUAUCCAAAUAUCACCUCUAUUAAGGCAUCAAAGUCCCGUGAGAAACACCAGCUCAUGCCCUCUUGUCCUCCCCGACUCCUACUGGAUAGUAGGGACAGAAAAGUGGAGAUUAUUCCGCAUUUUAUAGAAAGAGAAACCAAGGUGCAGAGGAGGGUGGAACUAGCUUCUGAUCCUAGGCUACACCCCUGGCAAACUGGGAAAGGUGUGUCAGGAGGAGUUGCCACAGGCAUUGGCCCCAGGAAAGCCCUGCUUUGUCACUUUGAGAGGACAGGGCACCACCUAGGCUGGCCUUGCCAAUUAGAACCAGCUCUGCUGCUCCAAAGACACCCAGGCCAGUGAGGGGUCCACAUGUGGACAAGCUUUAAAAUCAUAAUUCUUCCCUCUGACAGUUCCCUGAGGUCCAAGACAACCUGUUUGGUAGUGAUGCUCUGUGACCCUCUGGCUCCCUAUCCCAGGGAUGUGGGGUAGAGCUGCACCCUAAGUCUCUUCUUACUGUGGGCGAUAAGGAUUGCAGCCAUUAGCCAGAGUAGGGGGGAGAGACAUCAUCUGCUAAAGUAGGAAGGGCAUGUGGUCUGAAUACCUGAAAUUUAAUCCCAAUCCUUUUUUUUUUUUUUUUUUUUUUUGAGAUGGAAUCUUGCUCUGUGGCCCAGGCUGGAGUGCAGUGGCAGAAUCUUGGCUCACUGCAAUCUCCACCUCCUGGGUUCAAGUGAUUCUCCUGCCUCAGCCUCCCAAGUAGCUGGGAUUACAGGCAUACACCACCAUGCCCAGCUAAUUUUUGUAUUUUUAGCAGGGACAGGGUUUCACCAUGUUGGCCAGGCUGGUCUUGAACUCCUGACCUCAGGUGAUCUGCCUGCCUCGGCGUCCCAAAGUGCUGGGAUUACAGGUGUGAGCCACCAUGCCUGGCCAUUUCUUUUUUUCUUCUUUAAACUAGCUGUGUGACCUUAGAUAAGUUACUGAACCCCUCUGAGUCUCAGUUUGUGCCUCUGCCUCUGUAAAACAGAAAUAGUAAGAAUAACUACCCCCAGGGGCUAUCAGUGACUUCACACAAAGUCAUGAAUGUGCUCAUAUUCUGUAGACUGUAAAGCACUCUACCAACAUUCACUGCCAUUCUUUCUUGAUAUGCUUUAAAGGAGAUGGGGGAAAGAAAGGAUCCAGAGCUGGGAAAUUCUGCUUUCUCAAAUCCUUUCUUGUUACAGUGAGGCCGUAGUCCAGAGAGUUUAAGCAGACAGCUCUAAGUCACAGAGGGCAGGAGGCAGGGUUUGCAUUGAGCAGUGAGGGUGGGUAGGGAAUGAGGGGACUGUGCUAGCGCCCAGAGACUGGACCACGAUGAGACCCUGGAGGAACCCUGCAGGAGGGUAUUAGGGCAGGGGCAGCGAGGUAGGGGGAGCCAGGUGGGCAGUGGGCUAAGGACACAGUGCUGUCGAGUGGGGAUAUGCCAGCCCUGGUUACCAAAACCCACGUGGGGGUUUCUGAGUUCAAAGGCAUGUGGAUGGUGCAGCCCCCUGCUGAGAUAUGACUGCAGCUUUGGAAACAUGAUAAAAUAAACACACGACGUGGGUCUUCAGACCACCCCCGAUUAGCAGCUAAAGAGGUGGAUGGGUAGAAGAAAAAGCAGAGGUUUUCAAAGAACAAAAAUACAACAAGGCAGCACAUCCGUCCCCGAGGUUGAGAAAUGUGGGCUGCACUAGUUUCCGCAUCAUCAGAACUGUGCCCGAGUCAGCACAGUUCUGAGCACAGGGAGAAUGUAGAGCACGUGGGGCAGGGAGGCAGGGUGCAUGUACCUACGAAGUGCUGCCCCCACACACAUCCCUUAAAGGAGAGUUACCCUAGAAAUGAUCUGAGGAUUCUGGUAACAAGAGUUGUCAUUCAAGAUAGGCCUGACUCAUUUCUUCCAUGAAGGAGGAACUGAACAGUCAGCAGCAGAGAUUAGAAUUCUUAUCCAGGCAGAUCUUGAGUGCUUCCCUCCCUCCUACCAAAGUAUUCUCUCUUUUGGCAUCUCCCUGCCUUAUAUUUUGCCAUUACGGGUUGAUCCUGUUGGCUUGUCAGUCUCCAACAGUUCUCUAUACAGACGCAAAUGUUCUGGAGAGGCAGGCCACAGGUCAGCCCCAGACUGUGAACCCAGCUCAGGCAGCCAGGACCCAGGACUGGUUCCAUCAGGGGCAUGAGGGCCCACAGGAGUGAGCGAGGGAGAAGGAUGAGGACAGUGAUUAUUGUUCCCCCUGUAUGGAUGAGGAAACUGAGACUCAGAGGAGUAAAGAAAGCAAUGAGCAGUCUGAGGUUGGGGAAGGCCAAACCUCACUUCCUCCUCCCAAAUCAUGUGUCUUCAGAGUACAUUCAAGGGCAACUCCACGCUCUGUGUUUCAGAGAAAACAAUCCUUCAUGGCUGUGCCCACGCUCUCCUCCCACACCACCAGAUGUGCAGGCAGCGUGGGGUCUCUCCAGCAUCCCCUGUUCAGACGGCCCGUUCGGAAACUGGACAUAACUGUGACUUGUGUGCCUGGCUCUGAAUAAUCAGUUAGGCCAGUGAAAUGGGAGUCUCUCUGUGUGUCUGGAAUUUGAACUGAGACCCUAAGUUGGGACCACUCAGAAGUCUGGGAGACUCAAGAGUGAGGUGGCCAUUACAGAGCCACACACAGCACAAGGUAUUAAGUCAGGAGAAACUGAGGCAGCCAGACAGACGGGGAAGGGAGCAGGGCACAGAAAAAACCAAUGAGGAGAGAUACCCAGGGGAGAGGCCAGAGCUGCCUGAUCAAGGACGAUGCCCACCUCCAGGACAGGGACUCUUAAAGUCUGCCCAGGGAUGGCAGGGCUGCCAUGGAGCAGUAUCCCCUGAGAUAUGGCUCUCAUUUUUCUGCUUUCCUACUGGUGUGUUUUUUUGCCACUCUCUAGCCCUGGCUGUACCACUGAGGACUGAAUUUUAACAGGCAGCAGGAAACUGGGAUUCUUAG